rnacentral:rRNA from 1 species
UACGGAGGGUGCGAGCGUUAAUCGGAAUUACUGGGCGUAAAGCGCGCGUAGGCGGCCUGUUAAGUCAGGUGUGAAAUCCCCGGGCUCAACCUGGGAACUGCACUUGAUACUGGCAGGCUGGAGUAUGGUAGAGGGAAGUGGAAUUCCGGGUGUAGCGGUGAAAUGCGUAGAUAUCCGGAGGAACACCAGUGGCGAAGGCGACUUCCUGGACCGAUACUGACGCUGAGGCGCGACAGCGUGGGGAGCAAACAGG